UGAACGCUGGCGGCAGGCCUAACACAUGCAAGUCGAGCGGAUGACAGGAGCUUGCUCCUGAAUUCAGCGGCGGACGGGUGAGUAAUGCCUAGGAAUCUGCCUGGUAGUGGGGGACAACGUUUCGAAAGGAACGCUAAUACCGCAUACGUCCUACGGGAGAAAGCAGGGGACCUUCGGGCCUUGCGCUAUCAGAUGAGCCUAGGUCGGAUUAGCUAGUUGGUGGGGUAAAAGCUCACCAAGGCGACGAUCCGUAGCUGGUCUGAGAGGACGACCAGCCACACUGGGACUGAGACACGGCCCAGACUCCUACGGGAGGCAGCAGUGGGGAAUCUUGGACAAUGGGGGAAACCCUGAUCCAGCAAUGCCGCGUGUGGGAUGAAGGCCCUCGGGUUGUAAACCACUUUUGGCAGGAAGAAAUCGCCUGUGCUAAUACCACGGGCGGAUGACGGUACCUGCAGAAUAAGCACCGGCUAACUACGUGCCAGCAG
rnacentral:rRNA from 1 species